ACGGGUGAGUAAUACAUCGGAACGUAUCCUGGAGUGGGGGAUAGCCCGGCGAAAGCCGGAUUAAUACCGCAUACGCUCUGAGGAGGAAAGCGGGGGACCUUCGGGCCUCGCGCUCAAGGGGCGGCCGAUGGCGGAUUAGGUAGUUGGUGGGGUAAAGGCCUACCAAGCCGACGAUCCGUAGCUGGUCUGAGAGGACGACCAGCCACACUGGGACUGAGACACGGCCCAGACUCCUACGGGAGGCAGCAGUGGGGAAUUUUGGACAAUGGGGGCAACCCUGAUCCAGCAAUGCCGCGUGUGUGAAGAAGGCCUUCGGGUUGUAAAGCACUUUUGUCCGGAAAGAAAUCAUCGGGGCCAAUACCCCUGGUGGAUGACGGUACCGGAAGAAUAAGCACCGGCUAACUACGUGCCAGCAGCCGCGGUAAUACGUAGGGUGCGAGCGUUAAUCGGAAUUACUGGGCGUAAAGCGUGCGCAGGCGGUGCUGUAAGACCGAUGUGAAAUCCCCGGGCUUAACCUGGGAACUGCGUUGGUGACUGCAGCGCUGGAGUAUGGCAGAGGGGGGUGGA
rnacentral:rRNA from 1 species